rnacentral:misc_RNA from 1 species
GUAAGUUAUGGUGGAUGGUGCAUGUUCUGUAUGAAUUUAUCUGAUAAUCUCCUUAAUACAUUGUGAUACUUGUAACUAAUUGGAGCAUUGGAAUUAUUGACAGAUCGCAUUUCAAAAUUUAUUUAAUUUCUUACCUGAAUGGAGGAUAAAAAUCUAUCUUAGAUCAGAUUUUAAGUACAAUGAAUGGAUUUCUUUGGAAGAGUCACCUGAGUGGUUGAUUUUAAUUUUACAAAAUACAUAUGCAUUCUGGGAUUUUGUUGGAUUGCAGUAUUGAAUUUUUUUAGUCAUUCUUGUUUUGUGGUCCAUUUACUUUUUUCAGUAAAAAAAA